AGCGGCGAGUGAAGCGGCAAAAGCUCAAAUUUGAAAUCUGGCGUCUUUGGCGUCCGAGUUGUAAUUUGAAGAAGGUAUCUUUGGGCCCGGCUCUUGUCUAUGUUCCUUGGAACAGGACGUCACAGAGGGUGAGAAUCCCGUGCGAUGAGAUGACCCGGGUCUGUGUAAAGUUCCUUCGACGAGUCGAGUUGUUUGGGAAUGCAGCUCUAAGUGGGUGGUAAAUUCCAUCUAAAGCUAAAUAUUGGCGAGAGACCGAUAGCGAACAAGUACAGUGAUGGAAAGAUGAAAAGAACUUUGAAAAGAGAGUGAAAAAGUACGUGAAAUUGUUGAAAGGGAAGGGCUUGAGAUCAGACUUGGUAUUUUGCAUGCUGCUCUCUCGGGGGCGGCCGCUGCGGUUUACCGGGCCAGCAUCGGUUUGGAGCGGCAGGAUAAUGGCGGAGGAAUGUGGCACGGCUUCUGCUGUGUGUUAUAGCCUCUGACGAUACUGCCAGCCUAGACCGAGGACUGCGGUUUUUACCUAGGAUGUUGGCAUAAUGAUCUUAAGUCGCCCGUCUUGAA
rnacentral:rRNA from 1 species